GAUGAACGCUGGCGGCGUGCUUAACACAUGCAAGUCGAACGAAGCUGUUAAAAGGAAGUCUUCGGAUGGAAUUUUAACAGACUUAGUGGCGGACGGGUGAGUAACGCGUGGAUAACCUGCCUUAUACAGGGGGAUAACGGAGAGAAAUUUCCGCUAAGACCGCAUAAGACCACAGCACCGCAUGGUGCAGGGGUAAAAUAUUAAUAGGUAUAAGAUGGAUCCGCGUCCGAUUAGCUUGUUGGUGAGGUAGAGGCUCACCAAGGCGACGAUCGGUAGCCGGCCUGAGAGGGUGAACGGCCACAUUGGGACUGAGACACGGCCCAAACUCCUACGGGAGGCAGCAGUGGGGAAUAUUGGACAAUGGGGGAAACCCUGAUCCAGCGACGCCGCGUGAGUGAAAGAAAGUAUUUUCGGUAUGUAAAAGCUCUAUCCAGCCAGGGAAAG
rnacentral:rRNA from 1 species